GUGGGGAAUAUUGGACAAUGGGCGCAAGCCUGAUCCAGCCAUGCCGCGUGAGUGAUGAAGGCCCUAGGGUUGUAAAGCUCUUUCACCGGUUAAGAUAAUGACGGUAACCGGAGAAGAAGCCCCGGCUAACUUCGUGCCAGCAGCCGCGGUAAUACGAAGGGGGCUAGCGUUGUUCGGAAUUACUGGGCGUAAAGCGCACGUAGGCGGGUAUUUAAGUCAGGGGUGAAAUCCCGGAGCUCAACUCCGGAACUGCCUUUGAUACUGGGUACCUAGAGUAUGGAAGAGGUAAGUGGAAUUCCGAGUGUAGAGGUGAAAUUCGUAGAUAUUCGGAGGAACACCAGUGGCGAAGGCGGCUUACUGGUCCAUUACUGACGCUGAGGUGCGAAAGCGUGGGGAGCAAACAGGAUUAGAAACCCAGUAGUCC
rnacentral:rRNA from 1 species